GAUGAACGCUGGCGGCGUGCCUAAUACAUGCAAGUCGAGCGGUAACAGGUCUAGUUUACUAGAUGCUGACGAGCGGCGGACGGCUGAGUAACACGUAGGAACGUACCCCAAAGUGAGGGAUAACUGCUCGAAAGAGUAGCUAAUACCGCAUGUGAUCCACGGAUUAAAGCUUUAUGCGCUUUGGGAACGGCCUGCGUCCGAUUAGCUAGAUGGUAGUGUAAUGGACUACCAUGGCGACGAUCGGUAGCUGGUCUGAGAGGAUGAUCAGCCAGACUGGGACUGAGACACGGCCCAGACUCCUACGGGAGGCAGCAGUAGGGAAUUUUCCACAAUGGGCGAAAGCCUGAUGGAGCAACGCCGCGUGCAGGAUGAAUGCCUUAGGGUUGUAAACUGCUUUUAUUAGUGACGAUUAUGACGGUAACUAAUGAAUAAGGACCUGCUAACUACGUGCCAGCCGCCGCAGUAAAAC
rnacentral:rRNA from 1 species